ensembl:lncRNA
ACCUUUAUGGCUGCGCAUUAAAAACAUUCAUUAAAAGGACAUUAGUGAUGUGUGCUAGUGCACGUGUAGAGAUGAGAUUUAUGGACUAAGCGCUGUUCUCUCAUUGAAUUAAUGUACAAUGAGUCAUACAUCAUCUCUCAGUCUCCUCCAGCCCAAUAUCCAUUUGUAGCAUUUUUCAGAGGAACAGGAAUGGGGAAAAGGAGGCGCAACAUCAAUUUGUCACCAUGCAAACAGCCACAGCUCUCAGCCAUAUGUUGCCUUGAACAACCCGCACGCUGAGGCUGGAGACCGCGGAGGAUGCUCUGUGAAGAGGGAGUUGAGUUGAAACCGGAGCCAAUCAUCCCGCCCUGUCUGCUGUGUCCACAGACAGCCUGGGUCUCUCGUGGGGCCCACCCAGCUGCCAUGUACUCAUUUGUCACACUGGGAGGAAGAGACCGCUGAUUCUACGAGCCAUGGAGGGUGUUGCUAGGGAGAACAUGGAUGGUUUGGCCACAGCAUUUUCAAGUGCCUCCAGUGUUCCAUAUUUCCUGACUGACCCAGAGAUCCUCAUUCCUCUGCAGGCUAGUACUGUUGACAAUGCUGGUGAGCAACUAGAUGCUGACUUCGAUUUUGAUGGCAUCGUAAUCGAACCGAGAUGGCUGGAAAGGUUGAAGCUGUUGUUCUCAAAGUUCAACCUUUCUCUCUACCGAAUCCAACAGCUGCGGAAUUCUUGGCAUUUGAUCAAGAAACAUUUUGAUCUAACCAAGUUUUCCAAGGAAGGCUUGGAAGUCCUACACAAGGUUCGAGGCAUCGACCUUGUUGAGCUGGAUGAAGGAUUUAAAUUGCAUGUUGUUGCAAUUCACCGAUCCCUUGUUAGGGUUGACAAAGCCUGUCAGUCCCCACAGAAACCAUUGAUCUCAUCAAUGGUAUGAUGAUCAACUUUGUGGAGAAUCUUAAAUUGUUCUGCUCGCUCUUCAGAAACUUGAAUGUAUGCCUGGUAGAAUGCCCUGCAUGGAUUACAGCUUAGUUUGUAACUGUGUGCUUGGUGUGGCUGAAGAAAUUGCUCAUCAACUUUACUGUUGCGGUGAGGACCUGCAGAUGGCGAGGCAUUGCAACACUUUCCAAUUAAUGUGUUCUUGAGGAGGAAAAGUGUCUUCACUGGUGCUUUGCUAACACUGUCAAUAAAGUCUUGAUGUGUAAGGUGAUAUGGUGUGUUAUGGAGAGAUUGUGUCACUGCAGUCCGGGAGUUCACAUCGUACUGCUGCUCUGCCC